rnacentral:rRNA from 1 species
GACGAACGCUGGCGGCGUGCUUAACACAUGCAAGUCGAACGGAAAGGCCCUGCUUUUGUGGGGUGCUCGAGUGGCGAACGGGUGAGUAACACGUGAGUAACCUGCCCUUGACUUUGGGAUAACUUCAGGAAACUGGGGCUAAUACCGGAUAGGAGCUCCUGCUGCAUGGUGGGGGUUGGAAAGUUUCGGCGGUUGGGGAUGGACUCGCGGCUUAUCAGCUUGUUGGUGGGGUAGUGGCUUACCAAGGCUUUGACGGGUAGCCGGCCUGAGAGGGUGACCGGCCACAUGGGGACUGAGAUACGGACCAGACUCCUACGGGAGGCAGCAGUGGGGAAUAUUGCACAAUGGGCUGAAGCCUGAUGCAGCAUCGCCGCGUGCGGGAUGACGGGCUUAGGGUUGUAAACAGCUGUCGCCUGUGACGAAGCGUGAGUGACGGUAAUGGGUAAAGAAGCACCGGCUAACUACGUG